GAAUUCACUAGUGAUUCAGGCCUAACACAUGCAAGUCGAACGAGCGAGAUCCAGCUUGCUGGAUUUAGCGAGUGGCGAACGGGUGAGUAAUACGUAAGCAACCUGCCUACACGGACUGGGAUAACACCUGGAAACGGGCGCUAAUACCGGAUAGGUAACGGAAGGGCAUCCUUCUGUUAUUAAAGGUUAGAAACACAAGUAGAUGGGCUUACGGUGCAUUAGCUAGUUGGUGAGGUAACGGCCCACCAAGGCGAUGAUGCAUAGCCGGCCUGAGAGGGUGAACGGCCACAUUGGGACUGAGACACGGCCCAGACUCCUACGGGUGGCAGCAGUAGGGAAUUUUCGGCAAUGGGCGAAAGCCUGACAAAGGAACGCCGCGUGAGUGAUGAAGGUUUUCGG
rnacentral:rRNA from 1 species